ACGUGAUCUCACUUUGGUAACCAAACCAGGAAGAGUAAAUACCAGGGGUCGCUAUGUUAGACAUUUAAGAAUUAAUUCAAAGUAAUGGUCAGACCAUGGACACCCGCCGCAGUGCCCAGGAUGUGUUACGGUGUCACAUCUGUAAAGCCCCGGCCUCCAUUUUGUAUUGUAACAUUUGUCACAUACAUCUGUGUAAAGCCUGUGUGGGGGAACAUCUCUCUGAUGAAUCCACAGAACACAAAGUAGUGCCAUUUGAAAAGCGGGGAUUGUCUCCAAAUUACCCGAAGUGCCCUAAACAUCCCACAAAACAAUGUGAACUCCACUGUGAACAAUGUGACAUUCCUAUUUGUGCACUCUGUGUAUCCUCUAAAGAACACCAUGUUCAUGCUGUAGUGGACAUAUUAAAUAAUUUAGAAAGCAAACGAAACCUUUUAAAGAAAGAUAUGCAAGAGUUGGAGAAAUUUAUUUACCCUAAAUAUCAAGAGAUUGCAUCUUCCAUUCCACUUCAGAAAGCCGAACUAAGAAAAAACAACCAGAUAUUGACAACAACCAUCAACAAACAUGGAGAAGACUUUCACAGAGAAAUAGACACCAUGAUCCACAAACUAAAAUCUGAUUUCAAUGAAAUGGACACCAAACACCUGGCUAUCCUAAAUAAACAGGAAGAUGAAAUCACACGCACCAUUUUUGAAAUCACACAGAGCAUUGCUGAUCUGAGGAAGUUACUGGACUCCAAUGAUGUCAGCCUUGUCUCUGCCUACAAAUCUAGAAAUGAUGAAUUCAGAGGAUUGCCCCCUAAACUCACAGUGUCCUUACCAAAUUUUAGCCCCAAAAAUAUUAAUAGAGAAUACCUUUAUCAACAGUUUGGUUCUCUGUCGGCGAUAUCUUUAAAAACAGAUGAACACGUUUACACCAUGGAUUAUCCAGGAGCUGAGUUCUCUCCCUCGGACAGACCUCUCAUGGAUUUACCACAAAUCAUCACAGAGAUAAACACUGAGUAUGGAGGAUCUAAUCUAUUGCACAGUGUGUCCUCUCUGAGUGAUGAAGCAGUUUGGACGUGUGGUGAGGACAACACGAUGAGACUCUACAACCUGCAGGGGGAACUAGUGAAGUCAGUCCAAACCAAGUCAGGGAACCAGCCUUGGGACAUAGCAGUGACAAGGAGUGGGGAUCUAGUUUAUACUGAUCACAAAGAUAAAACUGUGAACAUAAUGAAGAAUACCGAUAUACACGCAUUGAUAAGACUUAAUGGCUGGAUAUGGAAGUGGAAACCUCUUUGUGUCUGUUGUACCUCCUCUGGUGACCUCCUGGUUGUCAUGGACAGUGAUGAUGAUAACCAAACAAAAGUUGUGCGUUACUCAGACUCCACAGAGAAACAAUGUAUUCAAAAUAAUGACAAAGGUCAGUCCCUUUUUUCAUCUAAUACCAUUAAAUACAUAUGUGAGAACAGGAACCUAGAUAUUUGUGUGUCAGACAAUGGAGCCGGUGCAGUAGUGGUGGUCAAUCAGGCCGGGAAACCCCGGUUUACCUACACUGGUCUUCCCUCUACCACCAAGGGAUCAUUUGAUCCACUCGGUAUCACAACAGACAGCCAGGGUCGGAUCCUGACAGCAGACUAUAACAACAGCUGUAUCCACAUCCUGAAUCCGGACGGACAGUUCCUCCGCUACAUUGACAACUGUCAUUUACAGAAUCCAUGGGGUUUAUUUGUGGACACCAGAAACAACCUCUUUGUGGCCGACUGGGGCACAGGUAAAGUGAAGAAAAUCAAGUAUUACAUGUAACAAAUCAUGUGUAACAUUUAUUACAUAUGAACAAACCGUGAGUAUAUAUACAAAUAUAAACGUGUAAACUGUAGGUCCUGGUAUGUUACAUUCAAACUGUUUUUAUAUACUUAUAUCUUAUACAUUUACCUUAUGUAAACAACAUUUAUGUAUAUUCAAAUAUAUGCUUGUAAUAAUGUAAACAAACUGUGUGAUAUGAUUUAUACGUGUGUUUAUGUUUUCACAAACCAAUGCAUAAAAUAUAUAUUGUAC
rnacentral:sRNA from 1 species